ensembl:lncRNA
CGAAGUUCUACAAGCAGUAAGAGAAAAGAAACAAAUCACAUACAAAGGAAAGCCCAUCAGAAUGACAGCAGACUUCUCAACGCAAACCCUUAAGAUUUUGAGAUAGGGUCUCACUAAAUUGUCCAAACUUGUGAUCUUCCUGCUUCAGCCUACAGAAUGCUGGGAUUACAGAUGCUGAGUUAAACAUAAUUGGAGUACUAAAAAAAACAAUUCAACAUUAUUAAAACCUGGAAAGACUGAAUAAUAGAUUCAACAUACACGAAAGAACUUCAGGGUCCCUCUACUUCAGUUGAGUUAAGUUUGUGACUUAUUUGUUUCCGCAGUAAGGCAAAUGGUUCAAUCUGGGCAUGUCAGCAGUGAGUGAUCACAAUAGUAUGAUGACCUCACAGUCAAAUUUUCCUUUGCACUCCUGUUUUAUUUUCCUCCCUUAAUAUAGUCCGU